rnacentral:rRNA from 1 species
GAAUCAACGCUGGCGGCGUGCCUAACACAUGCAAGUCGAGCGCGAAUUGGGGGGCAACUCCCAUAGUAGAGCGGCAAACGGGUGAGUAACGCGUGGGUGAUCUACCUUCGAGUGGGGAACAACACCGGGAAACUGGUGCUGAUACCGCAUGACAUCCCAGGUCACACUGGGAUCAAAGCUGGGGACCGAAAGGCCUGGCGCUUGAAGACGAGCCCGCGUCCGAUUAGCUAGUUGGCGGGGUAACGGCCCACCAAGGCGACGAUCGGUAGCCGGCCUGAGAGGGCGGACGGCCACACUGGGACUGAGACACGGCCCAGACUCCACGGAGGCAGCAGUGGGGAAUUUUCGCAAUGGGCGCAAGCCUGACGAAGCAACG